GAACUGUGAUGGCAUUUCUCCUCUUACGGUUCUUGGAGACUGCAUGGAAAUAGCCUGAGUUUUUAUCACCGAGGCUCAGCCAGAGGACUCGACUUCUCUGUCGCCAAUACUCUUCUUCUGAUUCAUAGGCCGCGUUUAACUCAUUUGUCACUGUGUUGAUCAGUUCCCGGUCAUUUGCCGGAUCUGUAAGGGCCUUUUCCAGUUCAGCCUUCUUUUCCUCGAUACGAGUUCUGCUAUUAAGAAAUCGUUGUUUGCUCCAUUCUAUAAGCGCUGUUCUGACAAUGGCAAUUCUGCCAUGGACCGAUUUGUCUACCGUAGUCUUCCAAGCUCUGUUUAUUAACUCCUUUGCUUCUGGAUUGUC
rnacentral:lncRNA from 1 species